UGCUGACUGAGAGGCUUGGUCAGUGGGUCUACCAUGUUCUGUAUGGAGUCAACUCUUUGCACCUCGACAAACUUCUUCUCAAGGUAUUCGCAUAUGAUAUGGAACCGCCACUUUAUGUACUUGGACUUCUGGUGAGACUUGAGCUCCUUAGUGAGGAUAUGGUACUGUUGUUAUCAUAGUAUCAUGCAAUGGUAUUUGAUGGC
rnacentral:lncRNA from 1 species